UGUAUUUGUUGUUUGUAUGUUACUGUGUCUGUAUGCAAGCUGCUCAAACUAAUUGCCCCUAGUGGGAUAAAUAAAGUUGUAUUGUAAAAUGAGGGCGGUCAUUUAAGAUCGAACACGGAGCUGAAAUAGCCUCGCACUGUUACCAAGUGCGACCAGAGGGCACCAAACCUGCAUUGAGCUUUUCUAAUUAGCUCCCCUGCCGCAGCUCGCCUGCAAAGUGGUUUUCUUAAUCAGUUAAUUGGUUGCAUCUGGUGCGUUUCACUUAAGAGGGAGCCGGACAGCACGUUGGAGUCCUCCACUGUUUGGCAAAAGUCUGUUGUGACUUAUUUGACAUCUCUUCCUGUUUCACAGGUUAAAGACUUUUUGAAGUAAAGAGGAGCAUCUCAUCUGAACCUGAUGUCUAUCAUGGAUAUUUAACUGCAGUUCUGUGAGUAUCCCAACUUGACCAUGAAGUUGAACUGCAAACUGUAAGUCAUACGUUUCUCAUUACUCUUGGGCACAUUGAUGUAUUUUGGCUUCCUGGCGAGUUAACCCGUUACCUGAAGUUUGUCUGAGUAGUAAGGAUGUUUUAUUAGUUCAUGGGUUACUGAGGUGUUUGGUUUAUGUUGGUUUUAAUGGAUUGUUAAAAUGGUUACAGGCUCCAAGUUAUUGUUGUAAGCUGGAGUAAUGGGUUGGGUUCUGAUAUCUUCAGUCUUCUUUCCAGCUACUCUCCUGAGCUCUGCAUCUUCAUCAAAUGAGUGUUGCUUGACUGAGAAGGGUGUGGUCUGAGUGUGCAGAGGUGCAUACUGGGAUACAGAGCUGUCUGAAGUCUACAGGUCUGUAGACAUGCCCCUUCAAGGGAAGCCAAGUGUUUGAGGAACUGUUGUGACGUCAGUUACAUGGACUGGAAUGUUCUUUAAGAUGGAGACAGGGAUUCCGAAGGUGAAACACCAGGGGGAGAUGAGGGGACUCCUCAUCUCAACGACUAAAACACAACUUCACUCCGACACAGAGAACCAUGGUACACGUUCAACAGUCCCCUCCAGGCAUCGUGACUCCUCAGGAACAGUUUAAUUUCAAAGGUCUUUUUAGGGGCCAUCCCCAUAUGGAUCCUGCUCCUCAAGAGCCACCCCCUCCCCUGGGUUGUCUUCUGAACAGAGGACCUCCUUCCUGUCGUCAGGCUGACUAAAGCUGCACCGUUUGCAUCUGUGAAGGCCCCUCAUUCAGGAAACCACUGGACUACAAAGACAUGAAUUCAGAGACGUUGAAUCAACCUUGGAGACAUUUUGGAGACGCCAAGCAUAAUCCAUCACCAAUGUGGGACGCCACUGAAGAAUGUUGUACAUAAUUUACUUCUCUGGAGUCAUUGGUUGUUCUGUUCUGGGUGCCCUGGCAGGAGAGCUGGGGUUGGAUGAUGGAAUAUUAUUUGGCAUGAGGUUUUUACCCUGCAUGAUUGUUUGGCCUUUUGUGGCUCAGUGGUGUGUGUGUUUGGGUUUGACAUGAGAUGGAUGAUUAUUGAGCAUCGCAAGGGUUCUACUGUGCGUGUCUCCCACUCACACCUGCAUGGGGUUCUACGUGCGAAUCAUUGGUUCUAUGUGUGUGUGUGGCCGGCUUGUCCGGCUUGCUUUGACAGUGAUAAUGUUCAUCCGGAGGUCUGUGUGAUUGGCUUGGGAUAUUGGAAUGGUCAAAUAAAUCAUCCCUGAUGGACGGCCACAUGUUUAUUUAAGGGCCUCCAGUAGACAUGAAGAGCCCAGAGCGACGCUGCGGAGCGAUAUCCAACACACUGGGCAGGAAGGAGAGUAUCCAACUCAAGUGUAAAAGGAUGCAAGCGGCAUGUUCAGAUCAGUGACUUCAAUCUAGGACUUCACCAAUCAGGAUCAAUGGAGGAUGGACACCUAAAGGAAUUCCAAAAGGAGACUCUGAUGUUGGAAAGGGACCUAAUUGGAUAUUCAAGAUGACCUUCAGCCCUGUAAUGAGACGGCUCUUCCUACCUGGCUGGAUUGAUGGAGAGCCCUGUGGAUCUUGUCUUUUUCUCAGUUGCACGUCUUCUCAGGCUGAACUGUAUUUGUUUCGGACAGGACUAGCUGAACGAUUGGUUUCCUUAAAUCAGAACCAAUCUGGGAACUCCAACUAGUGCGCUCUUCGAGCUGAAGUUGUGCUCUUCAGCUGAGGAGGUAAAGUGUGCUGAAGGAGCUGAUGGAGGAGCCGUGCUGAAGGAGCUGAUGGAGGAGCCGUGCUGAAGGCCCUGCCUGGUGGAGGAGCUGGUGGAGUCCUUGCCUGGUGAAGGACGUCUGUCGUGGGACCAGGACUCUGUCUGAGGAGAGCUGCUGGAGGACGACUAGGAAUCGACCAACAAGGAUUCCUCAACGUGUUUCUGGAGCGGGGGCAAGUUGGUAGGGGAGCCGCAAAUCUGGAGGAUGACCAUCACUCUACCAACAAGGAUUACGUUGGGGCCAGACUUGCACUGUUUGUUCCAGACCAGGACUCUGGCUGAGGAGAGCUGAUGGAGGAGCCAAGACUCUGGAGGACGACAUCACUCUACCAAACAGGAUCCUCAGACCAAUUACGUUUGUAACCAGACCAGGAAUCUGGAGGACUGAUCGAGAAGCCAAACAUCUAGAAGGCAAAUCCUGAGGACAACCAGAACUCUACCAUCAAGGAUUCCUCACACACCUGAACUGAACCCGCCCUGAUCCUGACAUCCUGCUGGUCCCGUCUCCUCAGUUCAUCUGAGCCUCGUCCUCCAGAAGACCUGCUGAGCUCAGCAGUCUGAGGCUGAUGGAUCAAUGACCUCCAGUGGGAGUGAUCCUCUUGACCCCACAUGUAACCGUGUGCUUCCACACGCCUUUCCCUCACGUCUGUCACUAACCUCACUACUUCACUACUCUCUACUGCUUCCUCUUCUUCUUCCUUCUCUGUGGUUCGAACCUUUACACUGAAGGCGCGUCUUCCUGCCCUCAGAGGGUUCAGCGUUAGGGUUGAGAGUCAGGGUUUAGAGUCAGGGACAGAGCUGGUCAGGGAGGGCUGCUUUAACACAAACCUCUUCACUUGCUUUCGGAAUGGUGGUGACAUUUUGAAAAGAUUCAUUCGGGAAAUUGUUUUCCUCUGCUUCCCUUUACAAAAUUGUAUUAAACUUCUGUCAAGUGUUUUUGUUUAUAUAUUAAAAUCCCACAUUAACUUCUA